UACGAAGGGGGCUAGCGUUGCUCGGAAUUACUGGGCGUAAAGCGCAUGUAGGCGGAUCGCUAAGUCAGGGGUGAAAUCCCGAGGCUCAACCUCGGAACUGCCUUUGAUACUGGCGAUCUUGAGUCCGGGAGAGGUGAGUGGAACUCCGAGUGUAGAGGUGAAAUUCGUAGAUAUUCGGAAGAACACCAGUGGCGAAGGCGGCUCACUGGCCCGGUACUGACGCUGAGAUGCGAAAGCGUGGGGAGCAAACAGG
rnacentral:rRNA from 1 species